rnacentral:rRNA from 1 species
AAUCGUCGGGGAGUAUAACUGUUUUAGGGGGAUAAGUUNNNNNGUGUGGGUGACGAGAUNUAUACACUCAUUAUAUUCAGUUUAGUGAUGCGUGGAACUAGGGUUAGGGUUACCCCCGUUUUAGGCGUAUGUUAAAAUUUCAGAUUAGGUGUUAUACGAAUUAAGGCAAACACUCCUUUAUUUUAACGUUUUAAAGUUAUUUAUGAGUUAAUUAGUAAUUAUAUUAGUACAAAUCUAUCUCGGGACUAACCCAACUGUUUAUUAAAAACAUUUCUGCCUCUAUUUAUAGGCAGUAUGACCUGCCCGGUGUUGUUAUAUUAACGGCCGCAGUAUUAUGACUGUGCGAAGGUAGCAUAAUUAAUUGCCCCAUAAUUGGGGGCUUGUCUGAAUGGUUUUAUGUGGCUAGACCUAAGAUUUGUAUUUUAUGUGAAGUUAAUAUUGCGGGUAAAGAAUCCUCAGUGUUUAGUAAGACGGAAAGACCCCAGGAUCUUUCGUUUUGUCUGGGGCAGAUUAUAUUAUUUUAACAUAUUUGAGACCCUUANNUUAGAGAGUUAAGUU